GGGGAUGAUCGGCUUCGACAAUGUCGUUAGCAUAUGUGUGUGCAGGGUAGCAGACCAGAACUGCUCUAAAAGCUGGAAAAUUGUAGAUGCAAAAAAAUCUGCACUCGGAAUGCUUUCACCUUUUCAGAUGAAAGACUUCCAGUUCGCUUACGCCCGAGCUUAAUCCGGCCUAAGCGACCAUCAACAAAUUUGGUGUCCGAUACAAUUUGCUUGAUGUCAUAAACAUCGGUCUAGGAAGUAAGAUUGUUUUGACUUACAACUGAAAUAAAAAACUAGACCUUGUAUGAUUUUGUUUGUUUUAUACAUACAAUGUUUAAAUCUGCCACCUCGGUGGCAGAAAAAAAUAAACUAGACCUUCGUAGAGUCACAUAUAAGCCCUUCAUUGAACGCGGGUUCGAUUCCCGCCAUCUCCACUA
rnacentral:tmRNA from 1 species